rnacentral:rRNA from 1 species
GGCUCAGAACGAACGUUGGCGGCAUGGAUUAGGCAUGCAAGUCGAACGAAUCCCGGGGUAGCAAUACCUCGGGGGAAGUGGCGAAAGGGGCAGUAAUACCUGGAUAACCUACCCUGGGGAUGGGCAUAGCCGUUCUAACGAGCGGGUAAUACCCAGCGAUUCGGCGGGUCGGCAUCGAUCUGCCGGGAAAUGAGUUUCGCCUCGGGAGGGGUCCAGGCGCUAUCAGCUAGUUGGUGGGGUAACGGCCCACCAAGGCGUAGACGGCUAGCGGGUGUGAGAGCACGACCCGCGCCACUGGCACUGAGACACUGGCCAGACACCUACGGGUGGCUGCAGUCGAGGAUCUUCGUCAAUGGGCGCAAGCCUGAACGAGCGAUGCCGCGUGAGCGAUGAAGGCCUUCGGGUUGUAAAGCUCAAAAGGGGUGAGAAAGGGUAACUUGAUCGAACCCCAGUAAGCUCGGGCUAAGUUCGUGCCAGCAGCCGCGGUAAGACGAACCGAGCGAACGUUGUUCGGAAUCACUGGGCUUAAAGGGCGCGUAGGCGGGUGCUCAAGUCUGUGGUGAAAUCCUCCGGCUCAACCGGAGAACUGCCAUGGAUACUGGGUGUCUCGAGGGUGGUAGGGGUAUGCGGAACUAUCGGUGGAGCGGUGAAAUGCGUUGAUAUCGAUAGGAACUCCGGUGGCGAAGGCGGCAUACUGGACCACUUCUGACGCUGAGGCGCGAAAGCCAGGGGAGCGAACGGGAUUAGAUACCCCGGUAGUCCUGGCCCUAAACGAUGGGUACUAGCUAGUAGGGUUCACAUGGCUUUACUGGCGAAGCAAAAGUGCUAAGUACCCCGCCUGGGGAGUAUGGUUCGCAGGCUGAAACUC